rnacentral:rRNA from 1 species
AUUGAACGCUGGCGGCAGGCCUAACACAUGCAAGUCGAGCGAGCGGCGGACGGGUGAGUAAUGUAUGGGGACUGCCUGAUAGAGGGGGCUAACUCCUGGAAACGGUCGCUAAUACCGCAUACUAUCGGAUAACCCAUAUGGGAUUAGCUAGUUGGUGAGUUAAUGGCUCACCACGUCGCCGGUCCCUAGCUGGUCUGAGAGGAUGAUCAGCCACACUGUGACUGAGACACGGCCCAGACUCCUACGGAGGCAGCAGUGGGGAAUAUUGCACAAUGGGCGCAAGCCUGAUGCAGCCAUGCCGCGGGUAUGAAGAAGGCCCUAGGGUUGUAAAGUACUUUCAGUCGGGAGGCGUUACCAUCAGAAGAAGCACCGGCUAACUCCGUGCCAGCAGCCGCGGUAAUUC